GCCAGCUCCUACGGGAGGCAGCAGUGGGGAAUAUUGCACAAUGGGGGAAACCCUGAUGCAGCGACGCCGCGUGAGUGAAGAAGUAUUUCGGUAUGUAAAGCUCUAUCAGCAGGGAAGAUAAUGACGGUACCUGACUAAGAAGCCCCGGCUAACUACGUGCCAGCAGCCGCGGUAAUACGUAGGGGGCAAGCGUUAUCCGGAUUUACUGGGUGUAAAGGGUGCGUAGGUGGCAUGGCAAGUCAGAAGUGAAAGCCCGGGGCUCAACCCCGCGGACUGCUUUGGAAACUGUGCAGCUAGAGUGCAGGAGAGGUAAGUGGAAUUCCUAGUGUAGCGGUGAAAUGCGUAGAUAUUAGGAGGAACACCAGUGGCGAAGGCGGCUUACUGGACUGUAACUGACGUUGAGGCUCGAAAGCGUGGGGAGCAAACAGGAUUAGAUACCCUCGUAAAC
rnacentral:rRNA from 1 species